GGGAGUUAUUGAGUUUAACAGUCACUCCUUACCUGGCUUUUCUCUAAGCUAGAAAGGGGGACUUUUGUUCUAUCAUCUUCUGGGAAUAGACUAAUCUUGAGGAAAGAUUAGGAAAGUCCUGGGUGUGGAGAACUGCCUUGGAUAUCUGUCUUUCCCUGAAGUUCUGAGACCAGUCUGGCUGAGACAACUUUGUUAAGAAUUAGAGAUGAGGAAAACAAUGUCUGAGCAGAAGGUUCUGCCUACCCUGGUUCUCUGACAAAAUCCCUUUACUGUACUUAUUGAGAGAAAGAGCGUGAGAGACAGAUGGAAAGAUGCAGAAAGAAAGAGGUAAAGAUGGAAACAUUAGCAGAACAGAAGUACCAGCUGCAGCAAAAUAGAAGUGUCCUGAGGGUGAAAGAGAUUCAUUUGGGACUUUAUUUCUCUUUCCAGAAGAGAAGAGAUGGCCAAACCAUUAUGACUCAUUUCACAGAACAAGGAUUGAAGCAUAUGGAAAGUAAUUACAUUCAAAAUAUGCUAGAAAGUGAUUUCAUGAAUAAAGAUACAUCCCUCUCUACUCAAACUGACAGGCAGAGGCAAAAGAGCCAAAACAGGGAUACAUAAGCUUCACUAGCCGACCAUGAAACAAAAAUAGAAAAGAACCCAUUUUCUAGAAAGAGAAGCAGAUUGGAAAUCAAACCGACUCCCAGCAUCAUUAAGCAAAUCGUUAAGCAGUUACAAUGCAAUGGGCUUUUUAAGAAUAUAACUGAGUAAUAUUUAUUGAAAUAGAAUAAAAUGCUUCACUAAAAAUUAGAGGCA
rnacentral:lncRNA from 1 species